GUCGGUCCGGACUAAUUCUACGAGGUGUGCGGAGGCUUUUAAGCUCUAAUUGCGCACAGGAAAAGCCCAGACCUGCGUUUUUUUAUAGCCCCUACAGCCAGACAGACACCACAAAACUUGCCAAGCGUGAUAGGAAGUCGCCACCUCCGCUUGAGGAGCCCAACGACGCCAAAGAAGUGGACUUAUAGAUGGGCCAAUCCGUGUGUCAUAAACCCUUGUUAGGCUCGCAGGCAACAAUUCAUUGAGAGGAGGAUCUGAGCGUACAGUUUAACGCCACGUCAGGUAGGCCUGUGGGCUGUAAAGCAGACUCAAUUGGCGCAUUCAGCCCCCUUUGGAGGGAAAGGAGCCUCCUGGAGCUUGAGUCCUUCAGUAGGAAUAAAUAAAAAAAAGAGCCCAAAGCUU